CAGGUCCCUACACCGUGUUCACUGCUUUCUGUUCACUAAGAAGAGGAUAUUCGUUGGUCGUGUAUAUUUAAGAAGUUUGAGCUUUUCUCUUGACCUUGGAGCCUGACUGUUGCGAGAAGAAACCCCACCAGCCCCAAAGACUUAUUCCCUCAAUUUAACAGCAGACCGAGGUGUUUCUCCAGCAUCAUCGGAUCAAUGAAAACCCCAGGGACGAUGCUGAUUGCCAAAGA
rnacentral:lncRNA from 1 species